rnacentral:rRNA from 1 species
CAGUAGCCGCGGUAAAACGUAGGGUGCAAGCGUUAAUCGGAAUUACUGGGCGUAAAGCGUGCGCAGGCGGUUCUAUAAGACAGAUGUGAAAUCCCCGGGCUCAACCUGGGAACUGCAUUUGUGACUGUAGAGCUGGAGUGCGGCAGAGGGGGAUGGAAUUCCGCGUGUAGCAGUGAAAUGCGUAGAUAUGCGGAGGAACACCGAUGGCGAAGGCAAUCCCCUGGGCCUGCACUGACGCUCAUGCACGAAAGCGUGGGGAGCAAACAGGAUUAGAUACCCCUGUAGUCCCUGUCUCUUAUAC